UACGUAGGGUGCAAGCGUUGUCCGGAAUUACUGGGCGUAAAGGGCUCGUAGGCGGCCAACUAAGUCAGACGUGAAAUCCCUCGGCUUAACCGGGGAACUGCGCCCGAGACUGCUUCUCUUGAGUCCCGGAGAGGAAGAUGGAAUUCCCGGUGUAGCGGUGAAAUGUGUAGAGAUCGGGAGGAAUACCGGUGGCGAAGGCGGUCUUCUGGACGGUGACUGACGCUGAGGCGCGAAAGCGUGGGGAGCAAACGGG
rnacentral:rRNA from 1 species